rnacentral:rRNA from 1 species
CAGCAGCCGCGGUAAGACGGAGGAUGCAAGCGUUAUCCGGAAUGAUUGGGCGUAAAGCGUCUGUAGGUGGUUUAUUAAGUCUGCUGUUAAAGCACAGGGCUCAACCCUGUAUGGGCGGUAGAAACUGGUAGGCUUGAGUAUGGUAGGGGUAGAGGGAAUUCCCGAUGUAGUGGUGAAAUGCGUUGAUAUCGGGAAGAACACCAAAGGCGAAAGCACUCUGCUGGGCCAAUACUGACACUAAGAGACGAAAGCUAGGGGAGCAAAUGGGAUUAGAUACCCCUGUAGUCCCUGUCUCUUAUAC